rnacentral:rRNA from 1 species
UUCGUAGGCGGUUUGUCGCGUCCGUUGUGAAAGCUUGGGGCUCAACCCCAAGUCUGCAGUGGAUACGGGCAGACUAGAGUCAGGUAGGGGAGAACGGAAUUCCUGGUGUAGCGGUGAAAUGCGCAGAUAUCAGGAGGAACACCGGUGGCGAAGGCGGUUCUCUGGGCCUGUACUGACGCUGAGGAACGAAAGCGUGGGGAGCGAACAGGAUUAGAUACCCUGGUAGUCCACGCCGUAAACGGUGGGCGCUAGAUGUGGGGACCUUCCACGGUUUCUGCGUCGCAGCUAACGCAUUAAGCGCCCCGCCUGGGGAGUACGGUCGCAAGACUAAA